rnacentral:rRNA from 2 species
UCUCGGCAACGGAUAUCUCGGCUCACGCAUCGAUGAAGAACGUAGCAAAAUGCGAUACUUGGUGUGAAUUGCAGAAUCCCGUGAACCAUCGAGUUUUUGAACGCAAGUUGCGCCCGAAGCCAUUCGGCCGAGGGCACGUCUGCCUGGGUGUCACGCAUCGC